rnacentral:lncRNA from 1 species
GUGUGUGUGUGUGUGUGUGUGUGUUUACGUGUGUGUGUUUACGUGUGUGUGUGUGUGUGUGUGUGUGUGUGUGUGUGUGUGUGUGUGUGUGUGUGUGUGGUCUCUGAAAGCAUCACCCAGCAGACUGGUGUUUACAUCCCUGUGUGUUAAGGGCCGGUGGAACCGGAUCAGCUCCGGUUCUGACUCGUUUACUGGAGUUGAGGAUUACGUCUUCACUAAUCCGUUUCAUCACAACCCGAUUUUCCUGGUUUGUGGAAAAUUUUCCUCCAGAAUUAGAAGCAGAAUCUUGUCAGAUCAGGUGACCAACACAACUCCAACAUCUCAAAUCCAAUCUGGAACGUUGAUCCAAAGAAUGGCCGAGAAGAAAGAUUCAUCCAGGUCUAAACCAGGAACCGCAGUCUAAAAGUUGGAUGUUGAAGAUGUUUUUAUGGAAUAAAAUCUGAUUUUGGAGUCGAGGACAGAAGUCCAAUGGAAAAAAAAACCCUCAGAUCUGUUUCUGUAGCUUCAUCUCUGACACGCCCCCGAACCUUCACACGCCCACUCAGAAUCUGAACUGUUUUGUUUCCCGCUCCUGAUGUUUCUGUCACUGAGCUUCACUUCACCUCCAACUCCACACAAGGAAGCCUUCCAGACCAGGAGCUGUAGGGAAUGACGAGGCGUGCCUGCAGACCGGCUCAGCGCUGAGCCCGCGUGUCGUUAGGGGGGUGAAGGCUGGAUCCGGUGCAAUAUCUGUGUUUUUAAUCGUGGUGAAAGCAUGAUGUCAUCGUUGAUUUCAGCAUUAAUAAAUGUUUUUUAUCAACUCAUCAGCUGUUUUUAUUACUGUCGUGUUUCUGUUUUUAUCUGAAGUUUCUGUUGUUUCACUUCAAUUCAGUUUAUUUAUAAAGCACCAAGUCAGGACCAGACUCGUCUCAAGGACCUGCACACAGUAAACAAUACAGGUCAGGUCAUUAAGCCAAUCAGUAACAAGUGUCCUAUAUAAGGAACCCAGCAGGUCGCAUCGAGUCACUGACUAGUGUCAGAGUCUUUACAGCAAUCCUCAUACUAAGCAAGCAUGCAGUGACUGUGGAGAGGAAAACUCCCUUUUAACAGGAAGAAACCUCCAGAGAAUCCUGGCUCAGUAUAAGCAGCCAUCCUCCACGACUCACUGGGGAUGGAGAAGACAGAGCA